UACGGAGGGAGCUAGCGUUGUUCGGAAUUACUGGGCGUAAAGCGCACGUAGGCGGCUUUGUAAGUUAGGGGUGAAAGCCUGGAGCUCAACUUCAGAAUUGCCCUUAAGACUGCAUCGCUUGAAUCCAGGAGAGGUGAGUGGAAUUCCGAGUGUAGAGGUGAAAUUCGUAGAUAUUCGGAAGAACACCAGUGGCGAAGGCGGCUCACUGGACUGGUAUUGACGCUGAGGUGCGAAAGCGUGGGGAGCAAACGGG
rnacentral:rRNA from 1 species